rnacentral:misc_RNA from 1 species
CGACGGCAUCUCCUCCACGCCUCUUCAGUUGUUGGCACGAGCAUGUGCUCGGCCGAUGUUGGUUAUCCUGUGCUGAAUACCUAUCGCUAGGGCAUUGAGUUGGCUAGAAUCGUUUGUUUCCCGCUUUGUGCUGCCGCUCCACGUCGGGUGGCGGUGCGGGGUGGGCCAAACCGCGUACGUCGUGUCUCGCACCUCGUUUUCUGUUACAGGCAUUCGGGUUGACGACACUCGAUGUUAUGCUCGAUCUCUCGGGUACGGUGCAUGAUGUGGGUACGAGGCCAUAGGCCUCCGAGCUCCACAAACAAGCGUUCUACGCUUCGUGCGAACGACGGUCGGUUCGGUCUUUGCCGUGCUCUGGUAGCUCGGUUCAAGUCGCGCCGACGUCGAUG